UACAGAGGGUGCGAGCGUUGUCCGGAAUCACUGGGCGUAAAGGGCGCGUAGGCGGCUUGGUAAGUAGGGGGUGAAAUCUCACGGCUCAACCGUGGGGCUGCCUUCUAGACUGCCGAGCUUGAGCACAGUAGAGGCUGGUGGAAUUCCCGGUGUAGCGGUGGAAUGCGUAGAGAUCGGGAAGAACAUCUGUGGCGAAGGCGGCCAGCUGGGGCUGUUGCUGACGCUGAUGCGCGACAGGCGUGGGGAGC
rnacentral:rRNA from 1 species